rnacentral:rRNA from 1 species
CCAGGACCAAGGUCAGCAGCAGGCGCGAAAAUUAUCGAAGCCCGCCUAGGGGCGAUAGUGAGGAGACGUGUAUAACGAAGUACGUGUAAAGAACGUACUAAUAACUGGAGGUCAAGUCUGGUGCCAGCAUCCGCGGUAAUUCCAGCUCCAGGGGUGUCUAUGAUGAUUGCUGCGAUUAAAAAGUCCGUAGUCAAGCUGACUGACUGACCUGCAAUGUGAUUGAUCAAAGAACGAGCAGGGYUAGGAAAGCAGAGAAUUAGGAGCGACCGAGGGCUAGAGUAUUGAAUGGCGAGAGGUGAAAUUUGAUGACCCAUUCAGGAGUGACAAAGGCGAAGGCACUAGUCAAGGGCGAAUCCGAUGAUCAAGGACGUAGGCUAGAGUUUCGAAAACGAUUAGAGACCGGAGUAGUUCUAGCAGUAAACUAUGCCGACGCCGUGGUAUGGUUUUUUGUGGCUGUAUUGCGGAAGAGAAAUCAAGUAAGGCUUUGGGGAGAGUACGCGCGCAAGCGAUAAAUU